UAGUGUUUUGAAAUGUAAAAAGCGUAAUGUUUCCUAGAACACAGAUUUUGUAAGAAAAUACGUAAAUGUGUGGACUAGAUCGGCACCACCGCUUCAGAAGUACAGAAUCGUCUCCCAAUGUGGUCUUGUACUCCAAUCAAACGAUUAAAUUUAGUGACACUGAGUGACUGCGCUUCGCGGUUAGUGUCACUCUAUGAGAUGGAAAGCUCUAGUGACACUUGCUGCGGGGUGCACUUGCCAGUGAGUGUGUUUGACAAACUCACUUUGCUGCAAUCAAGUGUGUAGUUUCGGUAACCGUGCUUCAAGAACAUCUAAAUAAAUGCUCACAGAUGAAUCAGCACUAAUUCUUAGACCACUUUUCCGUGACCUCAUUUGUUAUGAGCAUCUUUGCGACAUCAAUGAAGCCAGAACGGGCUUGAAAUGUUCAUUUUCCGUCGAUUCCGUCAUUUUGACCCUGUGAAUGUUUUAUAUGUUCCUUGCUUUUAUUGGCUCAAAACAAGUAUACAUGUUAAUGGGAUUAAAGUAUUUCUAUUUCUAAUUGCAAAGGUUCUUAUAAGUAAGCAUUCUAUUUUUUCCUAAUGAAACAGUAACGCUUUCUAAAGUUCAAAAUGCCGAGAAUCAUACCAACCACUAUGGCUUCAUAGAUCGUCAUUGUCAUUAAUUUGGUCGUCUGACUGGGGUAUUAUACCUCGCACAUUCUUGGUACUCGCAAGGGUACCAAACUCACAAGGGUGGUGGUUUCUGCCAGAGCAUGACCUCCAAGACCGCAGUCAACACACAGGGGUCUUUGUCGGCAGCAACUUACAGAUUGCAUUUUUAUAACUUACAUUCACCCGUUUUGUCAGGAAACCUGCCCUCUCUUGUUGCAAUUUUGUUAACGACUGUGGUACAGGACAUCGGCAGGCUUUCUGGGCCACAAUCUGUUGCUGUAGUUGGACUUAGUGUUUGUCAUCAGUAUCCCUUUAAGCAAAAACAGAAAAUUUUUUAAUUCCAAGUUUUUCAAGGUUACUUCACAUCAUUCCGCUGCUCAAUCAUUUGAGCAAAAUCUGUCUUACAAAGAAUAUUUUGGCAUGUUCACAUCUGCAUUUAUUUUCUUGUGACAUACAAAAAAAAACUUUAAAGUCAGUUGUAGCAUCCUCAGGCCUGUCAACACUUUUCUACACUGCCUCGAUUGAGCACAUAGCAUACAUAUGCCGUAUUUUCUUGUGUACUCCCUGCACUAGAAAUUUAAGAAGUUGAACUUUGAAGCGGGUAUGCAAGUGAUGAAGCGAUAAAAAAUGUAGCCUUGCUAUUUGGCUUCACAGCAACCCGUUGUGCAUUGCCAUCAACCGUGCGAGUGCAAAGAGCAUUUGGGAAAUGGUUGUUGCCCGAAUGUACAAAAAAAUUUUUCUGGAUGCUUGCUCUCUCCUGAUUAUAAUGAGGCGUUGUUUCAUGUGGUUACUUUUGCAUAUCGCAUAUUCCAUGUUUUGUUUUUUAUUUGUGGGUUGUCGUGACUGGGUUAUGCGCGGGAGAAUACGGCAACCAUUGUGCUCCAUGUACUGAUGCUGCUGUUUUCAUAUGAGGAAUGGUGCCUUCGUAAAUCUUUAGGCUGUUGUUGAUCGCACCAAAUAGUAAUCUUCAAACUUCUUUUCACUUAUAGAAUUGCAAGGUAGCAAUUUGCAUAAGGUGCUUUCCUAUUUCAACAUAUUUGCACGAAUAUAAUGUGAACGACUGUUUCUUUCUUUAGAUCUAUUAGAACCAUUAAAAAUACCUUGCAUUAUAUUUUUAACUGUGUUCUGCAUAAAAUGCAAUAGAUUUUUACCCCUAUUUCACACUUAAAAAUUCAGCGAGCUCCCUUACGAAUUAACCGAAUCACACGGGAAAGCCAGCUUUUUAGUGUCCUAUGGGGAAUGCAGAUGUGCGCAUGCACAUUAGAGGACGAGAGUCGGCAAUGAAGCAAGCAUGCAGCAAGUAAGAAACGAGGUUCAGGUGAUUUCUAUUUGUCGGGAGUGCUUAUCUAAGGGCUUCGAGGCCAACAGCUCGAUCUGCUUCGGCAGCAGACUUCUACACGGUCUGCUGCAUGAUGCAUCAUUAGUUUGUGUAAUAACUGCCGUCUAGCUUUCCUUGUUUCUGAAAUUUUAGAAGUCGUCGAUGAUUUGUUAGUUGCCGCGUUACGUUAGUGCACAUGUGUCUACUCUCCAUUACUGUUUGCUGUUACAAGUAGCAUCGCUGAAUGAUUUUAUGCUAGCAAGUGCAAACAAGCGGCAAUUGUAUAUUGCAAUAUUCUCUCAUACUGGCAUUCUUGGGUAAUCUUGUUUGCCAGCAUCAAGCCAGCCAAUUUCUCGGAAGCGCUGCAGCGUCAAUAUAAAACUUCCAAUGCAUUCAAGAUUGAGCAAGGACAAACGAAGCUGGUAUUCGUCAUAUUCAAGUGGUUAGUGAAGCUUCCUUCUGUAUAGUUUUGCGAUAAAAUACUGUAAUUGUAUUCACUGACCAGGUCAAAGGUGUGAAAGGUGAAGGAUUGGUAUUCUGGAGCCCUUGUCCGUGAGGCAAACAACAGUAAAUUUAUCAAAUGCAUAGAAGAUGGCACAGUCAUAUUGAGUUGACUGCCAUAAUGUAGCUGUUCAUCCUGUUCAAACUGUAGGGCAAUUUUUGAAUAAGAAAUUUCCAGAGAUUGAGUCAUCUGGUUUCUGACUUCCAUCGUGGUAGUGGCAUUCUCCGAGUUGAUGACAACUCUGUUGGUGGAUGGACACUCGCACAAAGUGCGUUGGAUCCUUGGCUUUCCUCACUGACAUCAGAAACCUGUGGAGUUUGUAAUCACAGCGUUGAAUCACUUGUUGCAAGGCUUGUUGUGCAGGAGGUAGUGGUGCAGCUCUCGCAUCCAUUUUCAGUGUGGGACAUUGUCACAAGGAUUGAACAUUGCAGUCAUUAUCAUGUGAAGAAAGCAGUGGUGUAAUGUUAUGGGCUACAUUGAAAGGUAAGCCUGUGAGCCUGCUGGGGCCAAUAUGACGGAAAACAAUUAUUCGUCAUCUGUUCACAGUUCCUUCAUGCUUUGUUUCAUUAAUUAAGUCAUCAGCUUAUUGAUGUAGGAAUAGGAACCCUGGUUUGCUGUACAAUAGUGUUGUCACGUCUUAUGGUAUAAAAGGACAAUGUUCCAAUAACUGUGUAGCCAAAGCUUGUGGUGUGUUUUGGCACUUUUCUGCGUAAUGGGAAGACUGUAAAAAUAAGUACACGAGGCUCAAGAACAACCAUGUCAGGUUAAUUUCUAAUCCACUGAUUCAAACUACAUACAUUCAUUUCAGAUGAAUAUGUGUGCAGUUUCUGCACAUUCUUUGGUAUCGGUGUAUGUUUUAUGGGGGCGUAUAUUAAUGACGAAGGCGGUGCUUACCAAAAGACAUAAACUGCUUGCUUCUCAUCAUGCUGAUCCACAGUGUACAGUCAUCUUGAUGUAUUUGUGACCUGAAACUGAUUAACAGUCCACAUGAAGCAUCAGCUGUUUACAUGUAAUGUAUAAUAACUUGUACAUAUUGUAUUCUUUUUAUUUUUUGUAUGGCUGAUAAGUCCAUCCUUCUCAAGGGAACCCCAAAUCAGUUUCAUGACUGAAACGAUUCACGCGAUUGUAACAUUUAAAGGCAAAUCCACACUAUUUGUUAGGGAAGCCAGUGGCAGCCAAAAAAGAUUUCAAAUCCUCCAUCCCUUCUUUGUAACAUAUCAGGGCAAGACAAAAGUAUAUUUUGGCUGCCAGCACAACUGCAGCCACUGCCUCAGUAAUACACUAAUGUAGGAUCAACAUGCGCAUGUAGAUGGCAUGUACAGACGUUCAUAAUUCUAACUUGGAGCACUUGAUUGGUGCACUGUGAAGUCAAGCAAGUGAUAUAUUGUGUUUGUGCUCAGUCUGAUAGACGAUGCUUGCUGGAAGCAGCAGCCCCACAAACAUGUGUGCCACAUAAUGUUGAUCUCAUCAUCCCAAGCCUUCGGAUUGCUGCGGUAUCACUUUUUGCUUACUCUGCAGCACUGCACUCGAGUGCUUAACAAUCCCUAACAAUAUGCUAGAACAUAUUGUUAAGGAUUGCAUCAGCAGGCGAGAUGAUGGCAUGCUGAGCAUAUCGGCACAGCAGCAAAAUAGCAAAUAGUUUCUGUGUGCUGGACGAACUACCUUAACUGUCAAAGACAUCUGCCAAUGCCUUCUCACACAAUCAACCUUUCACUGUAGUGUCAGUCAUGUUCUGAUCAAAAAAACUAGGUUGUCAUUCAGUAAGCAAGAAAUAGCAAUUAGCUCGCAAGGUAUGAUGGCAUUUCAUAGUUCCCCUGCUAAGGAACUAUUCAAUUUAGCCCCAUGACAUAUGCUGAACUUUGCAACUUGCAUUUUUUGUGAAUGUAGUAAGCGUGACCACAAAGUCUAUUACAAGACAUGUUUUGAUGUCUUCCCACACUCUUCAGCGACUGCAUUGGGGUUCCUUCGAGAGGGUGCACUGAUAGCUGCUCUAGUCAUGACCACAUAGUUUGUCAUGGCUAAAUUGGUGCUGCGCAAUUUCCACUGCAUGUACAUGUUUUGUUUGAAUGCGCAGUGCUAGUAGUAGUGUGCUCAUUGUCUUAAUGUGUUGCAUUUAUUCAUUCAUGCCAUGUGUUAAUCAGUGAUCUGAAUAUAUUGUUGUCCCCCAGAAGGUACUGAUUGAUGUGUAACAUGUUGACAUGUCAUCUCGUAGAUUCCUUUUUGUAAUAGGCUUUCUUUUCUUCUGAACGCCAGAGCUCAUGUUAUUGUAGAGAACAGCCCAGUCUACAGCAAUACCUUGUCCCAUUUUGGCAGGUUGAGAAGCGUGACAAAUCUCUCUCAGUCAUUGGGGAGAAAAGAAAGUCUUAUUGUCCGCAAAAGCGUGUGCUCGUGUAUAUUCCCUGUACCUCUAAUUCUGGUUCGUUGUGGUAGAGCUCCUUUCUAGGAAAGAGUGUUAAAGGUUGUAAUAAUUGUGCUGCAUUGACACCAAAGCCUAUUUUUUUGUACCUUAUUUUUAUGGUAGCUUAACCAACUAAUGUAGCAUUUGUGUGAGACAUUUCCACUCAACCUUGCCGACGCAGGUUCAUUGACACAUAAUUACACUCACUGGCACUUUAAGCCCAUGAGCAUGAACUUGCACAUGCUCUCAUUUAAUCUUCACCACAUCCCUUCUUUUUUUUUCUCUUCAUUUUUGUUGCAUUCGAUUCAUUGAUCGCCCUGUCAUCGGCAUUGUUUUUGUACAGCAACUGAUGAGCUUUGUGUACUACAUGUUGUCAUGUUGUCUGUGUUGUCAACAAUGGCUUCGUGAUCUUAAAUAUAUUGCAGUGAAAA
rnacentral:lncRNA from 1 species